rnacentral:rRNA from 1 species
GAAGGGACUUCCCGUAGGUGAACUUGCGGAAGGAUCAUUA